GCAGGGUCAAUAUCUCCCACAGGGCAGCCUCACGGCCUUUACUGCCUCUCUCCAGCCAGCUCCAGCACUACAGGACAGAGAUUGGAAUUAAAUGUCACGUGGAAAAAAGCCAACAUGGCAUUCUGUUAAGAAGAUAGACAACCUAAGUGACGUCUAUCCUGCUUCAAAGACAAAACUCAGGAGGCUGUACAUUCAUUUAGAGCAGAGUAGACGAAACCUCCUAUUCUCUGGCUUGGGAACCAGGAGGAAUCACUGACUGAGAUUUGCCAACCAGACCUCUAUGAAGUGAGCUCUAUCACAUGGUACGUUUAUGAGAAGAGGAACCAGCAAUGUUUCCUUCCAUCUUCAACUAUACUAACAAGAUCCAUCUGAUGUGUAAGCUAGUCUGGGAAUUAGGGGCACAGAAAAUUGCAUAUUAAAGUCAUACAACGUUGUUUUUUAAGAAAAGCUCUUUCUGUGAUUUGUUGCUCCAAAUCUUUCUUCUCUUGUAUUAAAAACUAUAAUGUUGAGAAAUGAUUCUCUUUGCACCUGGUAACAAUAUUUUAGUAAGCCUCUUUUCAGUUUUGAAUAGUUUGUCAUUUUUCCAUGAGUACCUUCAGGUCAUACAUAUACUUGGCUUUUAAAUUUUUUUUUGGAAUGCUAUUGUAAUGGGCCUGCUGUUCAGUCCCACCACACACUUAGCUACUUCUUUUGGGUGCUUGGGUGCAGAUUUUCCUUUGAAGCCAGUCGGAGCUACAUGCACAGAUGAAACGUGUGGCAGGAAGG
rnacentral:lncRNA from 1 species